rnacentral:rRNA from 1 species
GACGAACGCUGGCGGCGUGCCUAAUACAUGCCAGUUGAGCGAUGAAGCUUGGUGCUUGCACCAAUUUGAAGAGCAGCGAACGGGUGAGUAACGCGUGGGGAAUCUGCCUUUGAGCGGGGGACAACAUUUGGAAACGAAUGCUAAUACCGCAUAAUAACUUUAAACAUAAGUUUUAAGUUUGAAAGAUGCAAUUGCAUCACUCAAAGAUGAUCCCGCGUUGUAUUAGCUAGUUGGUGAGGUAAAGGCUCACCAAGGCGAUGAUACAUAGCCGACCUGAGAGGGUGAUCGGCCACAUUGGGACUGAGACACGGCCCAAACUCCUACGGGAGGCAGCAGUAGGGAAUCUUCGGCAAUGGACGAAAGUCUGACCGAGCAACGCCGCGUGAGUGAAGAAGGUUUUCGGAUCGUAAAACUCUGUUGGUAGAGAAGAACGUUGGUGAGAGUGGAAAGCUCAUCAAGUGACGGUAACUACCCAGAAAGGGACGGCUAACUACGUG